GAGUUUGAUUAUGGCUCAGGAUGAACGCUGGCGGCGUGCCUAACACAUGCAAGUUGAGCGAGAAAUCACUUAAAGAAGCUUCGGUAGACUUAAGAGAUGGAGAGCAGCGGACGGGUGAGUAACGCGUGGGAAACCUGCCCUUGACAGGAGGAUAGCCGAGAGAAAUUUCGAUUAAUACUUCAUAAAGCAGAGCAUUCGCAUGGAUGAACUGCCAAAGAAUUAUCGGUCAAGGAUGGUCCCGCGUCUGAUUAGCUGGUUGGUAAGGUAGCGGCUUACCAAGGCGACGAUCAGUAGCCGGCCUGAGAGGGUGAACGGCCACAUUGGAACUGAGACACGGUCCAGACUCCUACGGGAGGCAGCAGUGGGGAAUAUUGCACAAUGGGCGAAAGCCUGAUGCAGCAACGCCGCGUGAAGGAAGAAGGCUUUCGAGUCGUAAACUUCUGUCCAAAGGGAAGAAUAAUGACGGUACCUU
rnacentral:rRNA from 1 species